UGAGGAAUAUUGGUCAAUGGGCGCAAACCUGAACCAGCCAUCCCGCGUGCAGGAAGACGGCCCUAUGGGUUGUAAACUGCUUUUCCAGGGGGAGAAACUUGCGCACGUGUUGCGCAAUUGACGGUACCCUGGGAAUAAGCAUCGGCUAACUCCGUGCCAGCAGCCGCGGUAAUACGGAGGAUGGGAGCGUUAUCCGGAUUCAUUGGGUUUAAAGGGUGCGUAUGCGGACUAUUAAGUCAGUGGUGAAAUCCUGCAGCUUAACUGCAGAACUGCCAUUGAUACUGAUAGCCUUGAGUUUGGUUAAGGUAGGCGGAAUGUGUAAUGUAGCGGUGAAAUGCUUAGAUAUUACACAGAACACCAAUUGCGUAGGCAGCUUACUGAGCCGACACUGACGCUGAGGCACGAAAGCGUGGGGAUCGAACA
rnacentral:rRNA from 1 species